UACGUGGGGGGCAAGCGUUGUUCGGAAUUACUGGGCGCAAAGGGUUCGUAGGUGGCCAACUAAGUCAGACGUGAAAUCCCUCAGCUUAACUGGGGAACUGCGUCUGAGACUGGAUGGCUUGAGUGCAGGAGAGGAACGCGGAAUUCCAGGUGUAGCGGUGAAAUGCGUAGAUAUCUGGAGGAACACCGGUGGCGAAGGCGGCGUUCUGGACUGCUACUGACACUGAGGAACGAAAGCCAGGGGAGCAAACGGG
rnacentral:rRNA from 1 species